UCAAACUUGAGAGUUUGAUCCUGGCUCAGAACGAACGCUGGCGGCAUGCCUAAUACAUGCAAGUCGAACGAGAUCUUCGGAUCUAGUGGCAGACGGGGGAGUAACGCGUGGGAACCUGCCCAGUAGUAGAGAAUAACUUGGGGAAACUUAAGCUAAUACUUUAUACGUCCUUCGGGAGAAAGCUUUAUGCGCUAUUG
rnacentral:rRNA from 1 species